AGUGAACGCUGGCGGUAGGCCUAACACAUGCCAGUCGAACGGCAGCACAGUAAGAGCUUGCUCUUACGGGUGGCGAGUGGCGGACGGGUGAGGAAUACAUCGGAAUCUACUUUUUCGUGGGGGAUAACGUAGGGAAACUUACGCUAAUACCGCAUACGACCUACGGGUGAAAGCAGGGGAUCUUCGGACCUUGCGCGAUUGAAUGAGCCGAUGUCGGAUUAGCUAGUUGGCGGGGUAGAGGCCCACCAAGGCGACGAUCCGUAGCUGGUCUGAGAGGAUGAUCAGCCACACUGGAACUGAGACACGGUCCAGACUCCUACGGGAGGCAGCAGUGGGGAAUAUUGGACAAUGGGCGCAAGCCUGAUCCAGCCAUACCGCGUGGGUGAAGAAGGCCUUCGGGUUGUAAAGCCCUUUUGUUGGGAAAGAAAAGCAGCAGGUUAAUACCCCGCUGUUCUGACGGUACCCAAAGAAUAAGCACCGGCUAACUUCGUG
rnacentral:rRNA from 1 species